AUUGAACGCUGGCGGAAUGCUUUACACAUGCAAGUCGAACGGCAGCACGGACUUCGGUCUGGUGGCGAGUGGCGAACGGGUGAGCAAUGUAUCGGAACGUGCACAGUAGUGGGGGAUAACGUAGUGAAAAUUACGCUAAUACCGCAUACGAUCUAUGGAUGAAAGCGGGGGAUCGCAAGACCUCGCGCGAUGGGAGCGGCCGAUAUCAGAGUAGGUAGUUGGUGGGGUAAAGGCCCACCAAGCCAACGAUCUGUAGCUGGGCUGAGAGGACGACCAGCCACACUGGAACUGAGACACGGUCCAGACUCCUACGGGAGGCAGCAGUGGGGAAUUUUGGACAAUGGGCGAAAGCCUGAUCCAGCCAUUCCGCGUGCAGGAUGAAGGCCCUCGGGUUGUAAACUGCUUUUGUACAGAACGAAAAGGUUUCUACUAAUACUAGGAGCUCAUGACGGUACUGUAAGAAUAAGCACCGGCUAACUACGUGCCAGCAGCCGCGGUAA
rnacentral:rRNA from 1 species